UACGUAGGGACCAAGCGUUGUCCGGAAUCAUUGGGCGUAAAGAGCGUGUAGGCGGCUUGUUAAGUCUUGCGUGAAAUCUCGGGGCUCAACCCCGAGCGGUCGUGAGAAACUGGCAGGCUAGAGUGCGGGAGAGGAGAGUGGAAUUCCUGGUGUAGCGGUGAAAUGCGCAGAUAUCAGGAAGAACACCCGUGGCGAAGGCGGCUCUCUGGGACGGUACUGACGCUGAGACGCGAAAGCUAGGGGAGCAAACGGG
rnacentral:rRNA from 1 species